CCUACGGGGGGCAGCAGUGAGGAAUAUUGGUCAAUGGGCGCGAGCCUGAACCAGCCAAGUCGCGUGAGGGAAGACGGUCCUAUGGAUUGUAAACCUCUUUUGUCGGGGAGCAAAAGACGCCACGCGUGGCGUUCCGAGAGUACCCGAAGAAAAAGCAUCGGCUAACUCCGUGCCAGCAGCCGCGGUAAUACGGAGGAUGCGAGCGUUAUCCGGAUUUAUUGGGGUUAAAGGGUGCGCAGGCGGACGAUCAAGUCAGCGGUAAAAUUGAGGGGCUCAACCUCUUCGAGCCGUUGAAACUGGUUGUCUUGAGUGGGCGAGAAGUAGGCGGAAUGCGUGGUGUAGCGGUGAAAUGCAUAGAUAUCACGCAGAACUCCGAUUGCGAAGGCAGCAUACCGGCGCUCAACUGACGCUCAUGCACGAAAGUGUGGGUAUCGAACAGGAUUAGAUACCCCAGUAGUC
rnacentral:rRNA from 1 species